GCGCGAAUGGUUUAACGGUAAAAUCCGGGCUUCCCAUGACGUCAUUACGUGACCGCGCCUGCCCGGGCUCCGGGUUCGAUUCCCGGUUCGCGCA